AGAUCUUGUUCAGGACAACUCCUCAGCAAACCCUUGUAUCUCUCUGUCGCUUCAUAUAAGGACUCUCCAACCUUUUGUUAAAAAUUAGCAAUAUUAUUCUUGGGCUU